rnacentral:rRNA from 1 species
AUUGAACGCUGGCGGCAUGCUUUACACAUGCAAGUCGAACGGUAACAGGCCUUCGGGUGCUGACGAGUGGCGAACGGGUGAGUAAUGCAUCGGAACGUGCCCAGAGGUGGGGGAUAACGCAGCGAAAGCUGUGCUAAUACCGCAUGUGAUCUGAGGAUGAAAGCGGGGGACCAAGCAGCAAUGUUUGGCCUCGCGCCUCUGGAGCGGCCGAUGUCAGAUUAGGUAGUUGGUGGGGUAAAGGCCUACCAAGCCGACGAUCUGUAGCUGGUCUGAGAGGACGACCAGCCACACUGGGACUGAGACACGGCCCAGACUCCUACGGGAGGCAGCAGUGGGGAAUUUUGGACAAUGGGCGCAAGCCUGAUCCAGCAAUGCCGCGUGCGGGAAGAAGGCCUUCGGGUCGUAAACCGCUUUUGUACGGAACGAAAAGGCUCUGGCUAAUACCUGGGGCUGAUGACGGUACCGUAAGAAUAAGCACCGGCUAACUACGUG